rnacentral:rRNA from 1 species
AUACGGAGGAUGCGAGCGUUAUCCGGAUUUAUUGGGUUUAAAGGGAGCGUAGGUGGGAUAUUAAGUCAGCUGUGAAAGUUUGGGGCUCAACCUUAAAAUUGCAGUUGAUACUGGUUUCCUUGAGUACGGUAUAGGUGGGCGGAAUUCGUGGUGUAGCGGUGAAAUGCUUAGAUAUCACGAAGAACUCCGAUAGCGAAGGCAGCUCACCGGGCCGGAACUGACACUGAUGCUCGAAAGUGCGGGUAUCAAACAGGAUUAGAUACCCUGGUAGUCCGCACAGUAAACGAUGAAUACUCGCUGUUUGCGAUACACUGUAAGCGGCCAAGCGAAAGCGUUAAGUAUUCCACCUGGGGAGUACGCCGGCAACGGUGAAACUCAAAUGAAUUGGCGGGG